UCGUACAGAGAAAGCAAAGAAAGAAAGAAAGAAAAAACGUUUAUUUGAUCACAAACCAAAGAGACAAGAACAAUAGUUUAAAAUGACUAUACAAAGCAACAUACAAAUACCUACUACUCUUACACACUUCAAACCAUCGCAUGCCUCAGGAAUGCGCCAAAUUGGUUCGGUUCGGCAUUAGUCAGAUUGCCAUAGUAAAAAUGGAACCUGACACCGGUUUUCAACCAAACCAUAGGUCGAGUACGUCACUGACGUCAGUUGCCUACCAAUAAAAUCUAUUAAAUCUAAAUAAAAAAUAAAUAAAUAAUAAUAAAAAAAAAAAACAAAAAAAAAACAAACGUUACGUAACAAAUCAGAAAUUAUACAACCACCA